rnacentral:rRNA from 1 species
GGGUUGUGAGGUUAAGCGACUAAGCGUACACGGUGGAUGCCCUGGCAGUCAGAGGCGAUGAAGGACGUGCUAAUCUGCGAUAAGCGUCGGUAAGGUGAUAUGAACCGUUAUAACCGGCGAUUUCCGAAUGGGGAAACCCAGUGUGAUUCGUCACACUAUCAUUAACUGAAUCCAUAGGUUAAUGAGGCGAACCGGGGGAACUGAAACAUCUAAGUACCCCGAGGAAAAGAAAUCAACCGAGAUUCCCCCAGUAGCGGCGAGCGAACGGGGAGCAGCCCAGAGCCUGAAUCAGUGUGUGUGUUAGUGGAAGCGUCUGGAAAGGCGUGCGAUACAGGGUGACAGCCCCGUACACAAAAAUGCACAUACUGUGAGCUCGAUGAGUAGGGCGGGACACGUGGUAUCCUGUCUGAAUAUGGGGGGACCAUCCUCCAAGGCUAAAUACUCCUGACUGACCGAUAGUGAACCAGUACCGUGAGGGAAAGGCGAAAAGAACCCCGGCGAGGGGAGUGAAAAAGAACCUGAAACCGUGUACGUACAAGCAGUGGGAGCACGCUUAGGCGUGUGACUGCGUACCUUUUGUAUAAUGGGUCAGCGACUUAUAUUCUGUAGCAAGGUUAACCGAAUAGGGGAGCCGAAGGGAAACCGAGUCUUAACUGGGCGUUAAGUUGCAGGGUAUAGACCCGAAACCCGGUGAUCUAGCCAUGGGCAGGUUGAAGGUUGGGUAACACUAACUGGAGGACCGAACCGACUAAUGUUGAAAAAUUAGCGGAUGACUUGUGGCUGGGGGUGAAAGGCCAAUCAAACCGGGAGAUAGCUGGUUCUCCCCGAAAGCUAUUUAGGUAGCGCCUCGUGAAUUCAUCUCCGGGGGUAGAGCACUGUUUCGGCAAGGGGGUCAUCCCGACUUACCAACCCGAUGCAAACUGCGAAUACCGGAGAAUGUUAUCACGGGAGACACACGGCGGGUGCUAACGUCCGUCGUGAAGAGGGAAACAACCCAGACCGCCAGCUAAGGUCCCAAAGUCAUGGUUAAGUGGGAAACGAUGUGGGAAGGCCCAGACAGCCAGGAUGUUGGCUUAGAAGCAGCCAUCAUUUAAAGAAAGCGUAAUAGCUCACUGGUCGAGUCGGCCUGCGCGGAAGAUGUAACGGGGCUAAACCAUGCACCGAAGCUGCGGCAGCGACGCUUAUGCGUUGUUGGGUAGGGGAGCGUUCUGUAAGCCUGUGAAGGUGUGCUGUGAGGUAUGCUGGAGGUAUCAGAAGUGCGAAUGCUGACAUAAGUAACGAUAAAGCGGGUGAAAAGCCCGCUCGCCGGAAGACCAAGGGUUCCUGUCCAACGUUAAUCGGGGCAGGGUGAGUCGACCCCUAAGGCGAGGCCGAAAGGCGUAGUCGAUGGGAAACAGGUUAAUAUUCCUGUACUUGGUGUUACUGCGAAGGGGGGACGGAGAAGGCUAUGUUGGCCGGGCGACGGUUGUCCCGGUUUAAGCGUGUAGGCUGGUUUUCCAGGCAAAUCCGGAAAAUCAAGGCCGAGGCGUGAUGACGAGGCACUACGGUGCUGAAGCAACAAAUGCCCUGCUUCCAGGAAAAGCCUCUAAGCAUCAGGUAACAUCAAAUCGUACCCCAAACCGACACAGGUGGUCAGGUAGAGAAUACCAAGGCGCUUGAGAGAACUCGGGUGAAGGAACUAGGCAAAAUGGUGCCGUAACUUCGGGAGAAGGCACGCUGAUACGUAGGUGAAGCGACUUGCUCGUGGAGCUGAAAUCAGUCGAAGAUACCAGCUGGCUGCAACUGUUUAUUAAAAACACAGCACUGUGCAAACACGAAAGUGGACGUAUACGGUGUGACGCCUGCCCGGUGCCGGAAGGUUAAUUGAUGGGGUUAGCGCAAGCGAAGCUCUUGAUCGAAGCCCCGGUAAACGGCGGCCGUAACUAUAACGGUCCUAAGGUAGCGAAAUUCCUUGUCGGGUAAGUUCCGACCUGCACGAAUGGCGUAAUGAUGGCCAGGCUGUCUCCACCCGAGACUCAGUGAAAUUGAACUCGCUGUGAAGAUGCAGUGUACCCGCGGCAAGACGGAAAGACCCCGUGAACCUUUACUAUAGCUUGACACUGAACAUUGAGCCUUGAUGUGUAGGAUAGGUGGGAGGCUUUGAAGUGUGGACGCCAGUCUGCAUGGAGCCGACCUUGAAAUACCACCCUUUAAUGUUUGAUGUUCUAACGUGGACCCGUGAUCCGGGUUGCGGACAGUGUCUGGUGGGUAGUUUGACUGGGGCGGUCUCCUCCUAAAGAGUAACGGAGGAGCACGAAGGUUGGCUAAUCCUGGUCGGACAUCAGGAGGUUAGUGCAAUGGCAUAAGCCAGCUUGACUGCGAGCGUGACGGCGCGAGCAGGUGCGAAAGCAGGUCAUAGUGAUCCGGUGGUUCUGAAUGGAAGGGCCAUCGCUCAACGGAUAAAAGGUACUCCGGGGAUAACAGGCUGAUACCGCCCAAGAGUUCAUAUCGACGGCGGUGUUUGGCACCUCGAUGUCGGCUCAUCACAUCCUGGGGCUGAAGUAGGUCCCAAGGGUAUGGCUGUUCGCCAUUUAAAGUGGUACGCGAGCUGGGUUUAGAACGUCGUGAGACAGUUCGGUCCCUAUCUGCCGUGGGCGCUGGAGAACUGAGGGGGGCUGCUCCUAGUACGAGAGGACCGGAGUGGACGCAUCACUGGUGUUCGGGUUGUCAUGCCAAUGGCACUGCCCGGUAGCUAAAUGCGGAAGAGAUAAGUGCUGAAAGCA